AACGAACGCUGGCGGCAGGCCUAACACAUGCAAGUCGAGCGAACCCUUCGGGGUUAGCGGCGGACGGGUUAGUAACGCGUGGGAAUAUGCCCAAAGGUACGGAAUAGCCUCGGGAAACUGAGAGUAAUACCGUAUGUGCCCUUCGGGGGAAAGAUUUAUCGCCUUUGGAUUAGCCCGCGUUGGGUUAGGUAGUUGGUGGGGUAAUGGCCUACCAAGCCGACGAUCCAUAGCUGGUUUGAGGGGAUGAUCAGCAACACUGGGACUGAGACACGGCCCAGACUCCUACGGGAGGCAGCAGUGGGGAAUCUUAGACAAUGGGGGAAACCCUGAUCUAGCCAUGCCGCGUGGACGAUGAAGGCCUUAGGGUUGUAAAGUCCUUUCAGCUGGGAAGAUAAUGACGGUACCAGCAGAAGAAGCCCCGGCUAACUCCGUGCCAGCCGCCGCCGUAAAAC
rnacentral:rRNA from 1 species